rnacentral:rRNA from 1 species
GAUGAACGCUAGCGGCAGGCUUAAUACAUGCAAGUCGAGGGGUAACAGGUGUAGCAAUACAUGCUGACGACCGGCGCACGGGUGCGUAACGCGUAUGCAACUUACCUCUAACUGGGGAAUAGCCCCGAGAAAUCGGGAUUAAUACCUCAUAACAUUUAUCAUUCGCAUGAUUGAUAAAUUAAAGCUCCGGCGGUUAGAGAUGGGCAUGCGUGACAUUAGCUAGUUGGUGAGGUAACGGCUCACCAAGGCUGCGAUGUCUAGGGGUUCUGAGAGGACAUUCCCCCACACUGGUACUGAGACACGGACCAGACUCCUACGGGAGGCUG